rnacentral:rRNA from 1 species
GACGAACGCUGGCGGCGUGCUUAACACAUGCAAGUCGAACGCUGAACCCGCUUCGGUGGGGGAUGAGUGGCGAACGGGUGAGUAACACGUGGGCAACCUGCCCCCGGCUCUGGGAUAACUCCAAGAAAUUGGGGCUAAUACCGGAUGUGACCGCUGGCCGCAUGGUCUGGUGGUGGAAAGGGUUUCCGGCUGGGGAUGGGCCCGCGGCCUAUCAGCUUGUUGGUGGGGUAGUGGCCUACCAAGGCGACGACGGGUAGCCGGCCUGAGAGGGUGACCGGCCAAACUGGGACUGAGACACGGCCCAGACUCCAACGGGAGGCAGCAGUGGGGAAUAUUGCGCAAUGGGCGGAAGCCUGACGCAGCGACGCCGCGUGGGGGAUGACGGCCUUCGGGUUGUAAACCUCUUUCAGCAGGGACGAAGAGAAAGUGACGGUACCUGCAGAAGAAGCACCGGCCAACUACGUG